rnacentral:rRNA from 1 species
GACGAACGCUGGCGGCGUGCUUAACACAUGCAAGUCGAACGGAAAGGCCCUGCUUUUGUGGGGUGCUCGAGUGGCGAACGGGUGAGUAACACGUGAGUAACCUGCCCUUGACUUUGGGAUAACUUCAGGAAACUGGGGCUAUUACCGGUAAGAGGUCCUGGUUGCAUGGUGGGGUUUGGAAAGUUCGGCGGUUGGGGAUGGACUCGCGGCUUAUCAGCUUGUUGGUGGGGUAGUGGCUUACCAAGGCUUUGACGGGUAGCCGGCCUGAGAGGGUGACCGGCCACAUUGGGACUGAGAUACGGCCCAGACUCCUACGGGAGGCAGCAGUGGGGAAUAUUGCACAAUGGGCGGAAGCCUGAUGCAGCAACGCCGCGUGCGGGAUGACGGCCUUCGGGUUGUAAACCGCUUUCGCCUGUGACGAAGCGUGAGUGACGGUAAUGGGUAAAGAAGCACCGGCUAACUACGUG